rnacentral:rRNA from 1 species
GAUGAACGCUAGCGACAGGCUUAACACAUGCAAGUCGAGGGGCAGCACGGGAGUAGCAAUACAACUGGUGGUGACCGGCGCACGGGUGAGUAACGCGUAUGCAACCUACCUAUCAGAGGGGAAUAACCCGGCGAAAGUCGGACUAAUACCGCAUAAAACAGGGGCACCGCAUGGUGAUAUUUGUUAAAGAAAUUCGCUGAUAGAUGGGCAUGCGUUCCAUUAGGUAGUUGGUGAGGUAACGGCUCACCAAGCCGACGAUGGAUAGGGGAACUGAGAGGUUGGUCCCCCACACUGGUACUGAGACACGGACCAGACUCCUACGGGAGGCAGCAGUGAGGAAUAUUGGUCAAUGGGCGGGAGCCUGAACCAGCCAGGUCGCGUGAAGGAAGAAGGAUCUAUGGUUCGUAAACUUCUUUUGCAGGGGAAUAAAGUGCAGGACGUGUCCUGUUUUGUAUGUACCCUGAGAAUAAGGAUCGGCUAACUCCGUGCCAGCAGCCGCGGUAAUAC